CAACCUGCCCACCACUUGGGGAUAACCUUGCGAAAGUAAGACUAAUACCCAAUGAUAUCUCUAGAAGGCAUCUGAAGGAGAUUAAAGAUUUAUCGGUGAUGGAUGGGGAUGCGUCUGAUUAGCUUGUUGGCGGGGGAACGGCCCACCAAGGCGACGAUCAGUAGGGGUUCUGAGAGGAAGGUCCCCCACAUUGGAACUGAGACACGGUCCAAACUCCUACGGGAGGCAGCAGUGAGGAAUAUUGGUCAAUGGGCGAGAGCCUGAACCAGCCAAGUAGCGUGCAGGAUGACGGCCCUGUGGGUUGUAAACUGCUUUUAUAAGGGAAUAAAGUGAGCCUCGUGAGGCUUUUUGCAUGUACCUUAUGAAUAAGGACCGGCUAAUUCCGUGCCAGCAGCCGCGGUAAUACGGAAGGUCCGGGCGUUAUCCGGAUUUAUUGGGUUUAAAGGGAGCGUAGGCCGGAGAUUAAGCGUGUUGUGUAAUGUAGAUGCUCAACGUCUGCACUGCAGCGCGAACUGGUUUCCUUGAGUACGCACAAAGUGGGCGGAAUUCGUGGUGUAGCGGUGAAAUGCUUAGAUAUCACGAAGAACUCCGAUUG
rnacentral:rRNA from 1 species